rnacentral:rRNA from 1 species
CAACUGACGCUGAGGCGCGAAAGCGUGGGGAGCAAACAGGAUUAGAUACCCUGGUAGUCCACGCCGUAAACGAUGGAUACUAGGUGUGGGGGGACUGACCCCUUCCGUGCCGCAGUAAACACAAUAAGUAUCCCACCUGGGGAGUACGACCGCAAGGUUGAAACUCAAAGGAAUUGACGGGGGCCCGCACAAGCAGUGGAUUAUGUGGUUUAAUUCGACGCAACGCGAAGAACCUUACCGGGGUUUGACAUCCUGCUAACGAAGUAGAGAUACAUUAGGUGCCCUUCGGGGAAAGCAGAGACAGGUGGUGCAUGGUUGUCGUCAGCUCGUGUCGUGAGAUGUUGGGUUAAGUCCCGCAACGAGCGCAACCCUUAUUGUUAGUUGCUACGCAAGAGCACUCUAGCGAGACUGCCGUUGACAAAACGGAGGAAGGCGGGGACGACGUCAAAUCAUCAUGCCCCUUAUGUCCCGGGCUACACACGUAAUACAAUGGCGUUAAACAGAGGGAAGCAAAGCCGCGAGGCAGAGCGAAGCCCUAAAAGGCGUCUCAGUUCGGAUCGCAGUCUGCAACUCGACUGCGUGAAGUUGGAAUUGCUAGUAA